GCCCGGCUAGCUCAACCGGUAGAGCGUGAGGUAAAUUGCCUUUAAGUCCGACACCUGUUCUCUACUAACCACUCCCAGACUCUUAGCAACAUUAAAGUUCAUCUCAAGGUUGUGGGUUCGAUCCCCACGUCGGGCU
rnacentral:tRNA from 1 species